UACGUAGGGUGCGAGCGUUAAUCGGAAUUACUGGGCGUAAAGCGUGCGCAGGCGGUUAUGCAAGACAGAUGUGAAAUCCCCGGGCUCAACCUGGGAACUGCAUUUGUGACUGCAUAGCUAGAGUACGGCAGAGGGGGAUGGAAUUCCGCGUGUAGCAGUGAAAUGCGUAGAUAUGCGGAGGAACACCGAUGGCGAAGGCAAUCCCCUGGGCCUGCACUGACGCUCAUGCACGAAAGCGUGGGGAGCAAACAGGAUUAGAAACCCCCGUAGUCC
rnacentral:rRNA from 1 species